UGCUGACUCGUGCGGUGGGUGCUGCUUACAACGCUCUGCAGGGCAGGUGAUGUGCCAGACAGUGAAGGACACAAGGAGAAGAACCCCUGCUCUAAGCCCAGCAAUUUUCCAGCUGUAAAUGGGGCAGAUUGGGUCUGAGCGCUCCCAGCUGCCAGCCUAUCUAUACAGUAUGAUGCAGGUUUUCACCUGAAAGCAGCUGUGUCUCCUCCCAAGGGCUGCUUGCUUUGUUCAGCCCUGCCACGACCAGCCCUCAGGAGGAGAUGCACACCUGCAAGGAUUUAUGCAAUGGAACCAUCAAUCUUCAGCCUCUCUUCAUGAAUCUCAAAAGAGGAGUCAGCC
ensembl:lncRNA